rnacentral:rRNA from 1 species
CCUACGGGAGGCAGCAGUGGGGAAUAUUGGACAAUGGGCGAAAGCCUGAUCCAGCCAUGCCGCGUGUGUGAAGAAGGCCUUCGGGUUGUAAAGCACUUUCAGUGGGGAAGAAAGCCUUGGGGCUAAUACCCUCGAGGAAGGACAUCACCCACAGAAGAAGCACCGACUAACUCCGUGCCAGCAGCCGCGGUAAUACGGAGGGUGCGAGCGUUAAUCGGAAUUACUGGGCGUAAAGCGCGCGUAGGCGGUCUGAUAAGCCGGUUGUGAAAGCCCCGGGCUCAACCUGGGAACGGCAUCCGGAACUGUCAGGCUAGAGUGCAGGAGAGGAAGGUAGAAUUCCCGGUGUAGCGGUGAAAUGCGUAGAGAUCGGGAGGAAUACCAGUGGCGAAGGCGGCCUUCUGGACUGACACUGACGCUGAGGUGCGAAAGCGUGGGUAGCAAACAGGAUUAGAUACCCUAGUAGUC